rnacentral:rRNA from 1 species
UACGAAGGGGGCUAGCGUUGUUCGGAAUUACUGGGCGUAAAGCGUGCGCAGGCGGCUUCUCAAGUCAGGGGUGAAAGCCCAGAGCUCAACUCUGGAAUUGCCUUUGAGACUGAGUGGCUUGAGUACGAGAGAGGUGAGUGGAAUUCCCAGUGUAGAGGUGAAAUUCGUAGAUAUUGGGAAGAACACCGGUGGCGAAGGCGGCUCACUGGCCCGUAACUGACGCUCAUGCACGACAGCGUGGGGAUCAAACAGG